UACGUAGGGGGCAAGCGUUAUCCGGAUUUACUGGGUGUAAAGGGAGCGUAGACGGCUUUGCAAGCCAGAUGUGAAAGCCCGGGGCUCAACCCCGGGACUGCAUUUGGAACUGUGUGGCUAGAGUGUCGGAGAGGCAGGCGGAAUUCCUAGUGUAGCGGUGAAAUGCGUAGAUAUUAGGAGGAACACCAGUGGCGAAGGCGGCCUGCUGGACGAUGACUGACGUUGAGGCUCGAAAGCGUGGGUAUCAAACAGG
rnacentral:rRNA from 1 species